CUGUAGGAAGAUGAAGGAGCUCAGAGGUAUGCCAGCAGGGAAUCACUCGCUUCAGCCGUCCCUAGCAGAAGAUCCCAGAGGUUCCGCAAGUGAAAGAAGAGGAUGAAGGGAUCUACAACAAUGUCGAUUGCAAUAUAUAUGCAAAUAACUGAAAUACACUUUGGUUAGAUAUAGUUAUAUCUGCAUAAGCUUAUGAGCUUCUUUAACCAGUCUUAAAGAUAAAUUCUGUAAAAAUUAAAAAAUAUAUAUUCCUUUAAUAUAA